UACAGAGGCCUCGAGCGUUGUUCGGAAUUACUGGGCGUAAAGGGAAUGUAGGUGGUGACGUAAGUCAGAUGUGAAAGCCCCGGGCUUAACCUGGGAAGUGCAUUUGAUACUGCGUUGCUUGAGUGCGAGAGAGGAAAGGGGAAUUCCCAGUGUAGGAGUGAAAUCCGUAGAUAUUGGGAGGAAUACCGAUGGCGAAGGCACCUUUCUGGCUCGCAACUGACACUGAGAUUCGAAAGCGUGGGUAGCAAACAGG
rnacentral:rRNA from 1 species